rnacentral:lncRNA from 1 species
UGUUCUUUAGUAGAAGGAUAACAUGACAUAGCAGGAAUAAUACUGCCUUUUCUUUCUGGCAUGGAUCAAGAGAAAAGAAAAUACAAGAAAACAGACAGAAGAUCCUAUCUGCGACAAUUAAGAGCACUCUAAGAGGAAAACACAUCCCACCACACAAGGCAAGGUACUUCUAUGGAAGGGUGAGCCCUCACAGAUGGAGCAAUGGGGCGCGCACACCUGAACAAGGGAGGGGAAGGAGUUCUUAUCCCUGAUGCAUGUGACCCCUGCUGCUGUGUCCUUCCCCUAUUGGCUAAGGUUAGACCACACAGCCUAAACUAAUUCCGAUUGGCUAAUUCAAAGAGAGCGACGGGGGCUUCUGACAGCUUUGGAGAUUGUGACAUUGGAAUAAAGGAAAAACGUACAGGACUCAUGAAGCGCUGAAAUGUUCACAAAUAUCAAGCAAAAGUCAAUGAAAUUUAUUUUGAGCUAUUUACAUCAUUUAAUAAUUGAGCAAGGUAUACUCCUAUGAACAAAAUUUGGAGCAUGUUUGUCUCUCUCUGCCUGGCGUCUUCAGAAUUUGGAAACUAGUUAUGGUUUAUAAUCAGCUAUAGAAUUUUAACACGUGCUCUCAAAUGCAAGUUUCUGAUAACUUUGGAGAUUGUGACAUUGGAAUAAAGGAAGAGCUGGAAUGUUCAUGAAUAUCAAGCAAAAGUCAUGGAAAUUUAUUUUGAGCUAUUUACAGCAUUUAAUAAUUGAGCAAGGUAUACUCCUAUGAACAAAAUUUGGAGCAUGUUUGUCUCUCUCUGUCUGCCUGGCAUCUACAGAAUUUGGAAACUAGUUUCGUUCCCAGAUUUCCUAAACUUUCCAGAGAAAAUGGUCUUCUCCCUGGCUCAGCAAGAAGAUGAACUUUAAACACUGAGAAACUGGUCAUCUCCCUGGCUCAACCAGAAGAUGAACUUUAAACACUACUCUCAAUGACUUGAUGUUCCCAUCACUACUCCUGUCAUAAAGGGAGGGGACUCAGAUAUUGAGAAUUUUAUGAUAGUGUGAACUGUCUGGUAUGUCAUUUAAGUAAGCCCGUUGCUGAAAUAUUUUCCAUGUUAUUAGAAAGAGCUGAAGAGAGGGAUUGAGAUGGCUUCUUUAUUUUUUGUCUUUUGGGAAUUAAAGGAACCUGGUUCAACAAGGGCCUACACCUAAGUCUCUUGUUGUACCAGAGUACAAUUUAGGACUGCUCCUGAGGAAGGAAUUAGCUAGAAAUCUAGAGAGUAAGGGUAACAGAUUUACAUAGAAUAACAGCCUCAGUAUUUUUGGUUCCUCUCCAGUAAAGAUCACAAAGAAUAUUGCUAAAUCGCUAAAACACCUUUGCAAUAACGUAAGGGCUUACAACUAUAUACCAAUGUAGCUCAGUUACUAAACUGGAGUAAACUAAUUUCUCUUGUGUAGAAAAAUUGGUUGGCUGUGGUUUUAUAGCAGAUCUGCAAUUAUUAAUAGUUAUGCCAAUAAUCGUUUAACAGUGCAUAUGUUAAUAUAUAUGGAAAGACAAUGUGUAUAGACAGAUGUGUAAAAUUGAAAAAUAAACAUAUAACAAGAGAGAAACAUCUAUCGAACAGACAAUAUACAUACACAUCAAACACAACAGCAGUUUUAGUGACCAUAAUAUUUAUUUCUCAUUUUUACAUUGCUUACUUUAGUGACAACUGAAAAUGACAGUUGGCAAUGCAGCUAACAGUUUCAAUAAAAGUAUAAAACAAAAGACUGUGUACAAAGCACCUGUCUUUCCGCUUUUGUAAUCUUCCGUUGGAAAAAAUUUACACACCUAAGUAACCAUCUGUUUUCUUCAAGAAAAAAUCAUUCUUAUUUCUCUCUCUCAUCUUGAAAACAGCUGUCAGCCAGGAGGGCAGAGCUGAAAUUUAUUGCCACAUCACAUGAAGCAUAGAACAGACUCCACUACUCCUUGAGAUUCAAAACUUUGCCUCUCACAAAGUUACCUUUUAUUUUCCUCUUGUUUGUCACUCAUCUCCCCUAGUGUGCUCUUUUUAUUUCUUUUACUAUUAAUAAUAAAAUCUGUGGAUGACUGUAUUAU